GUUAAUAAUUAAAGUGGUUGGCUGAUAGAGUAUAUAUAUAUAUAUUGUUUAUUUUAUAUAUAUUGUGAAGGAUGUUCCUCUCGUGAACAUGCGACUUGAUGUUUUGUCCUUCUCUGCUGGCAGUAGGACAAUCUUGACAUAGGGAUAUCGAACUUAAAUGUUAAAUUUUUAAUUAGAUCUUCAGGACAUCCAAUUUAAAAUUUCCAAGUGGGUACACAAGCUUUUUAUUUUUAAUUAUGUGCUUGCACAAUCCCACAUAAGAAUAUAGUGCAUGAAAUGUGAACGCAGAGUUAAAUAAUAAUUAUACUCGUCUAAUAUAGAUUUAAAUAUAACAGAUAUAUUAUUAAGCUAAUUAAAACUCAUUAAUAAUUUUUUAGCUAUUCUAAAAGAUGGAAAUGAAUUGAAAAGAAUUAUAAUAAGAAGAGAGGUAUACGUACUUGUGGUUGAUAGUGCCUGUCA
rnacentral:misc_RNA from 1 species